GCAUCCGUAGCUCAACUGGAUAGAGCGUUGCCCUCCGACGGCAAAGGCUGUGGGUUCGACUCCCGUCGGGUGCACCA
rnacentral:tRNA from 1 species